rnacentral:rRNA from 1 species
UGGGGAAUAUUGGACAAUGGGCGAAAGCCUGAUCCAGCCAUGCCGCGUGAGUGACGAAGGCCUUAGGGUUGUAAAACUCUUUCGUCGGGGACGAUAAUGACGGUACCCGAAGAAGAAGCUCCGGCUAACUUCGUGCCAGCAGCCGCGGUAAUACGAAGGGAGCUAGCGUUGUUCGGAAUCACUGGGCGUAAAGCGCACGUAGGCGGAUAGUUAAGUCAGGGGUGAAAUCCUGGGGCUCAACCCCAGAACUGCCUUUGAUACUGGCUGUCUCGAGGUCGAGAGAGGUUGGUGGAAUUCCUAGUGUAGAGGUGAAAUUCGUAGAUAUUCGCAGGAACACCAGUGGCGAAGGCGACUUGCUGGACUUGUAGUGACGCUGAGACGCGAAAGCGUGGGGAGCAAACAGGAUUAGAUACCCCCGUAGUCCCUGAGCGGGCUGGCAAGGCGCAU